CUACGGGUCACUGCAGUGAGGAAUAUUGCACAAUGGGGGGAACCCUGAUGCAGCAACGCCGCGUGGAGGAUGACGCAUUUCGGUGUGUAAACUCCUUUUAUAUGUCAAGAAAAUGACGGUAGCAUAUGAAUAAGUACCGGCUAACUCCGUGCCAGCAGCCGCGGUAAUACGGAGGGUGCAAGCGUUACUCGGAAUCACUGGGCGUAAAGGACGCGUAGGCGGGUUGGAAAGUCAGGUGUGAAAUCCUACAGCUUAACUGUAGAACUGCACUUGAAACUUCUAAUCUAGAGUAUGGGAGGGGGAGAUGGAAUUAGUGGUGUAGGGGUAAAAUCCGUAGAUAUCAUUAGGAAUACCUAAAGCGAAGGCGAUCUCCUGGAACAUUACUGACGCUAAGGCGUGAAAGCGUGGGGAGCAAGCAGGAUUAGAUACCCUUGUAGUC
rnacentral:rRNA from 1 species